rnacentral:snRNA from 1 species
UUAUUUGGGCAGUGGCAGUAUCAUAACCAGUGAGGUUAUCCGAGGCAUGAUUAUUGCUAAUUGAAAUUAACCAAUUUACCCAUACCCGCCUUGACGAUUUGAAAUACAAUCGGCAAAUGGCAAUUUUUGACAGUCUCUCUGGAGA